GACGAACGCUGGCGGCGUGCUUAACACAUGCAAGUCGAACGGAAAGGCCCUGCUUUUGUGGGGUGCUCGAGUGGCGAACGGGUGAGUAACACGCGAGUAACCUGCCCUUGUCUUUGGGAUAACUUCAGGAAACUGGGGCUAAUAUCGGAUAGGAGCUCCUGCUGCAUGGUGGGGGUUGGAAAGUUUCGGCGGUUGGGGAUGGACUCGCGGCUUAUCAGCUUGUUGGUGGGGUAGUGGCUUACCAAGGCUUUGACGGGUAGCCGGCCUGAGAGGGUGACCGGCCACAUUGGGACUGAGAUACGGCCCAGACUCCUACGGGAGGCAGCAGUGGGGAAUCUUGCACAAUGGGCGGAAGCCUGAUGCAGCAACGCCGCGUGCGGGAUGACGGCCUUCGGGUUGUAAACCGCUUUCGCAUGUGACGAAGCGUGCGUGACGGUAAUGGGUAAAGAAGCACCGGCUAACUACGUG
rnacentral:rRNA from 1 species